GACGAACGCUGGCGGCGUGCUUAACACAUGCAAGUCGAACGGAAAGGCCCUGAGUUUGUUGGGUGCUCGAGUGGCGCACGGGUGAGUAACACGUGAGUAACCUGCACUUGACUUUGGGAUAAAUUCAGGAAACAGGGGCUAAUACCGCAUAGGAGCUCCUGCUGCAUGUUGUGGGUUGGAAAGUUUCGGCGGUUGGGGAUGGAUUCGCGGCUUAUCAGCUGGUUGGUGGGGUAGUUGCAUACCAAGGCUUUGACGGGUAGCCGGCAUGAGAGGGUGACCGGCGACAUUGGGCCUGAGAGACGGACCAGACUCCUACGGGAGGCAGCAGUGGGGAAUAUUGCGCAAUGGGCGGAAGCCUGAUGCAGCAACGCCGCGUGCGGGAUGACGGCUUUCGGGUUGUAAACCGCUUUCGCCUGUGACGAAGCGUGAGUGACGGUAAUGGGUAAAGAAGCACCGGCUAACUACGUG
rnacentral:rRNA from 1 species